ACUCAAAUGAAUUGACGGGGACUCGCACAAGCGGUGGAUUAUGUGGCUUAAUUCGUAGAUAAACGAAAAACCUUACCAAGGCUAGAAACCCAGCUGCACGCUCUCCGAAAGGAGGGAAGCUUUCGAAGGUGCUGGGCAGGUGAUGCAUGGUCGUCGUCAGUUCGUGGCUUGAGCUGUUCCCUUCAGUGGGGUAACGAACGCAACCCUCGUUGUCUGUUAUUUUUUCAGGCGAGACUGCCCCCUCACGGGGGAGGAAGGUGAGGAUGACGCCAGAUCAGCAUGUCCCUUGAUGCCUUGGGCCGCACACAUAAUACAAUGGAUGGUACAAAAGGAAGCAAUACCGUAAGGUGGAGCAAAUCCCAAAAACCAUCCCCAGUACGGAUAGAGGUCUGCAACUGACCUCUUGAAGCCGGAAUCGCUAGUAAUCGUGGAUCAGCACGCCACGGUGAAUACGUUCUCGAGUCUUGUACACACCGCCCGU
rnacentral:rRNA from 1 species